CAGCCAAAGGCUCAGAAAAAGGAGCCCCAGACCAACUUGGAGCAAACUGAGGUUACCAAAGCCAUAUUUGAAUUACUUAAGGAAAUAACUGUGUCUGAAGGUAACUCAGUUCUCAUUUACCUUUUUGAUGUCCUUCUAAAAGCAGUCCAGCCUUUGGUUAAAAAGAAAAUAAAUAACUUUUUAAAAAGGAUGCAUCCCACUGAGGUUCAGAUUGCAUCCUACAUUAACAAUUUCCGGGAGAAUAUAUGGCCAGAGGGAAAUGUGCCCAUCCAGCCGCCACGUGACAGUGAGGAGAAACAAGCGACCAAGGAGAAGGCUCUGCAGCUUAUAAAUUCAAAUUAUUCAAACGUUUUAAUCCUCAAGAAGACUGAAGUUGAAACUUUGUUCAAGAUCUUUCAGGACACAGAGGAGAACAAGAAACUGGUUUAUAAGCUGCUGUCAUAUGUUCUAGGGGAGUUCCUACCUGGAGAAACUGCCAAGGAUUUUGUUUUCUUAUAAAAAGAAGACUUUUUUAUUUUUUAUUAUUGUAGUCUGUCUGAUGUCUAAUCUAAUGUGAAUUAU